GAUCGCUGUGAUGCGGGCGGUUCGCCGCUCGUGACUCUGCGAGAAGUCCAUUGAACCUUAUCAUUUAGAGGAAGGAGAAGUCGUAACAAGGUUUCCGUAGGUGAACCUGCGGAAGGAUCAUUGUCGAGACCGAAAAACAACGAGCGAUUUAGAGAACCUGUUAAAAUAAUCGGUGGCUGUUGUUACCGUGAUAAAUUCCAUCCAAGUCGUUGCCUCAUGUCCUCUUGGGGGCUGGAUGCGAUGAAGGAUGGAUGAACACUCAAACCGGCGCAGCAUCGCGCCAAGUCAAAAUAUUGAAAGACAAGCCCUUAAAAGGGUUUGGUGGCAUCACGUGCUAUUUGCACGCCAUAUGGAUUGGCAUGACUCUCGACAAUGGAUAUCUCGGCUCUCGCAUCGAUGAAGAGCGCAGCGAAAUGCGAUACGUGGUGCGAAUUGCAGAAUCCCGCGAACCAUCGAGUCUUUGAACGCAAGUUGCGCCCGAGGCCAAUCGGCCAAGGGCACGUUCGCCUGGGCGUCAAGCAUUACGUCGCUCCAUGUCAACUCCAUCCCUUCUUUUGAUGGGCUGGUAAAAGGCUUGGACGUGUAAAGUGGCUCGUCGUGCCCCUCGGUGCGGCGGGCUUAAGAGCGGGUCAUCAUCUCGUUGGCUACGAACAAUUACGUGUGGAUUAAAGUGCGGCCUAUCUUAUUGUGUCAUGUAUGCCUGAGAAGAUUAUGCAUUUUUAGGUGAUCCCAAAUCAUGCGUCGAUCCAUGGAUGACGUUUGGAAUGCGACCCCAGGAUGGGCGAGGUCACCCGCUGAGUUUAAGCAUAUCAAUAAGCGGAGGAGAAGAAACUUACGAGGAUUCCCCUA
rnacentral:rRNA from 1 species